GUUCGGCAAUCAGGGGGGGUGUUUCUGCAACUUCACUUAUAAAAAGGAGGGAGGAAGGGAGGAGUUAUGAAUGCGGGACCCACAGAAGCCGUGACCAUUCUACAUUUCUACUACACCACCACACUUCCACGCCUCCACCUUCACCCCCUUCUUCGCUCAACUUCGAACUUAAAACCGCCCCUUUUCCGGUUUUAUCCGUGCACAUCUCUCAUGACCCUCAUUUCCUCUUCCUUUCUCUGACUUGGUUUUCACAACACUAACAUUUAUUUCCUCGGGAACCAAACAGAGGAAACAAGCAGCUAUUCUGCUUGCAUUGACCUUAUGAUAGCUUCGCUCCCUUUGCACUAUGGCCGCUGCAGGUUAUGGUAAUUACAGAAAUGGCACUCACAGCAGCAGGAACUCUCUCAAUAGCACCAACAAAGUCGACAGGCCUCUCUCUUUUAACUCAAAUGCUAAGAAUUCUUCUCUUAAAUCCAAG
rnacentral:misc_RNA from 1 species